UCGCCUGUUAACAAAAACAUAGCUUUAUGAUUUAUUAUAUAAAGUUUUGCCUGCCCAAUGAUAUAACUUAAAUGGCCGCAGUACUUUGACUGUGCUAAGGUAGCAUAAUAAAUUGACUUUUAAUUAAGGUCUAGAAUGAAAGGAUAAAUGAAUAUAUACUGUCUUUAAUAAAUUUAUAUUAAUUUUCUUAAAAGGUGCAAAUUCCUUUAUUUAUAUUAGAAAGACGAGAAGACCCUAGGAGUUUAAAUUAUUUUUGUUGGGGCAACACUAUAACAGAUAAUUUAUAGUAAAUAUUAUAAAUUGAACGAAAUAUUUUAAUUAUAAAUAAACUACCCUAGGGAUAACAGCAUAAUUUAUUGUUAAAUGAGUUUGUGACCUCGAUGUUGGACUAGGAACUUUAAAUAUUAAUUAUAUUUAUUGGUUUGUUCUGUUCGAACAUUUUAUACCUACGUGAUCUGAGUUCAGACCGGA
rnacentral:rRNA from 1 species